GGGAACGUGCCUUCUGGUUCGGAAUAACCCUGGGAAACUAGGGCUAAUACCGGAUACGCCCUUAUGGGGAAAGGUUUACUGCCGGAAGAUCGGCCCGCGUCUGAUUAGCUAGUUGGUGGGGUAACGGCCUACCAAGGCGACGAUCAGUAGCUGGUCUGAGAGGAUGAUCAGCCACACUGGGACUGAGACACGGCCCAGACUCCUACGGGAGGCAGCAGUGGGGAAUAUUGGACAAUGGGCGCAAGCCUGAUCCAGCCAUGCCGCGUGAGUGAUGAAGGCCUUAGGGUUGUAAAGCUCUUUUAUCCGGGACGAUAAUGACGGUACCGGAGGAAUAAGCCCCGGCUAACUUCGUGCCAGCAGCCGCGGUAAUACGAAGGGGGCUAGCGUUGCUCGGAAUCACUGGGCGUAAAGGGCGCGUAGGCGGCGUUUUAAGUCGGGGGUGAAAGCCUGUGGCUCAACCACAGAAUGGCCUUCGAUACUGGGACGCUUGAGUAUGGUAGAGGUUGGUGGAACUGCGAGU
rnacentral:rRNA from 5 species